rnacentral:lncRNA from 1 species
CCCAAAUUACAUUUAUGCAUACAAAUAAAAGUACACAACUUGGGAGCCAUAACUACUUAACAGAAACAGCACCAGGCAUGAAAAAAACAAACAAACAAAAAAAAAAACCUCUUUCAGAGAUGGAGGCCAGGGAAGUCCAAGGACUCCCAAACAAUAUAAAGUGAUUGCUAUUGCCCUUGAAUACCUGUAAGUCCCCUUUGAUGAAGUCACCACAAACUUUGGACAUAGGAUUCAGGAUUUGAGCUAGAACUGACUAGCAAGCCUCCUCGAGAUUUCCACAGAAACAGAAGAUAUAUAAGCUUCAAGGGAAGCAAUCAAUAGCCAUAUUCAGCUGUUCCACCCAUAAACUACCACAACAAUCAAUCUGGCAAGAUAUUUCUCAAGGUACAAGGGUGGCAUAUUUAUCAAGGGGGUAACUAACAGCUGUCGAAUUUGACUCAAGCCAUCCUUGACAUGAGAGAAGUCAUGGUAAGUACUGAAAACCAGGAGGGGAACCUACUACCACCACUUUCCUAACCCAGUAGAAUCCCUAACUUCGGUCUAAAUACUCUCCCUCACCCACAGAUGAGUAAAGACAUCACCCCCUCAUCAAAGAAGCUUCCUUUGCAGCAGAAGGAGACUGUUACAGAGAGCAACAGCUAGUCAGAGUACAAAGAACAACUGACUGUGAGAUCCUCAAGCUCUGAGGGGAGAGGUGUUAUAAAGGCAUUCAAUUUAGAACUCAGAGCUCCAAAGUCACCCUCUAUAUAUUAUGCAGUUGUUGGUCUCUGUGUUUAUUACCACACACUUCAAGAAGAAGCUCUACUGAAGACAGUUGACUAGUGCACUCCUCUGAAGUUCUGGUGGGAACUCUGGGCUCAGGCUGCAGGGAGUCCCAGAGUGGUGCCUAUGUCUAUGCAAACUGUAACAACAAUGGGACUAGAAGAGAUUGUAAAUGCAGGAAGCAGACCAUCAUGGGAAGAAUAAAAUGAAAUGAGACAAAAAUGAAAGAAGAUAAAAACAAUUCAAAAUUGACCUUCACCCAGAAAAGUCCUUCCUGUUUUCAGUCAUCAGUGUUAAUAGUCAGUGAUGGUGUCUGUGUGCAAUUAAAACAUCUGGAUGAAAAAUGUUUCCAGUUCUCUGACACAGCACACCACACAAUGGGACAAUUGGAAACAUCUGGACACAGAAGAAUGGAGCUAUAAGGAUGUUAAAUCUCAAUGGAGAGCUUGAGGAACUCUGGUGACACCUGGGAGACUGGCAUCUGAUUAUGCCUGUGGGAAUGUUUUAGAUUAUAUUAAGUAACAUGGAAAGACCUUCCAGUUAUGCAUGGCACCAUUUCCUGCGCAGGGAUCCUGGACUGUUCAAAACAGAGACACUGAAAUGAACACAUGUGUUUGUGGUCCUCUGGUCCUUGAAGAGAUGCAAUGUUAUCAGUUGUCUCUUGGACUGAUGCUGCUGUGAGUUCUCCACAAUGAUGAGAUGUAUCCUAGAACUGUCAUCCAAAAUAAACUCUUUCUCCC